rnacentral:pre_miRNA from 1 species
AAAGUACUCCCUCCGUCCCAAAAUUCUUGUCUUAGAUUUGUCUAGAUAUGGAUGUAUCAAGUCACAUUUUAGUAUUAGAUACAUCCGUAUCUAGACAAAUCUAAGACAAGAAUUUUGGGACAGAGGGAGUAGUUG